rnacentral:ncRNA from 1 species
GGGAUACGGUUCCAAUUCCGUAACCUGUUGAGUAUCCGUUUGUUAUUAAAUAUGGGCCUCGUGCUCAUCCUGGCAACAGGAACGACCAUAAAGAAGCCGUCGAGAGAUAUCGGAAGAGUUUUCUUUUCUGUUUUAUAGCCGUACUACCAUGGAAGUCUUUCGCAGAGAGAUAUGGUAGAUGGGCUAGAAGAGCAUGACAUAUACUGUUGUGUCGAUAUUUUCUCCUCGGACCUUGAAAAUUUAUGGUGGGGACACGCAAACUUCUCAACAGGCCGUACCAAUAUCCGCAGCUGGUCUCCAAGGUGAAGAGUCUCUAGUCGAUAGAAUAAUGUAGGUAAGGGAAGUCGGCAAAUUAGAUCCGUAACUUCGGGAUAAGGAUUGGCUCUGAAGAUUGAGAUAGUCGGGCUUGAUUGGGAAACAAUAACAUGGUUUAUGUGCUCGUUCUGGGUAAAUAGAGUUUCUAGCAUUUAUGUUAGUUACUUGUUCCCCGGAUAGUUUAGUUACGUAGCCAAUUGUGGAACUUUCUUGCUAAAAUUUUUAAGAAUACUAUUUGGGUUAAACCAAUUAGUUCUUAUCAAUUAUAACGAUUAUCAAUUAACAAUCAAUUCAGAACUGGCACGGACUUGGGGAAUCCGACUGUCUAAUUAAAACAAAGCAUUGUGAUGGCCCUAGCGGGUGUUGACACAAUGUGAUUUCUGCCCAGUGCUCUGAAUGUCAAAGUGAAGAAAUUCAAGUAAGCGCGGGUCAACGGCGGGAGUAACUAUGACUCAGGGAGGUGCCGUCAGGUAUUAUGUUGCGAAUAAUGAACCUAAUUCUAUGGUGCGGCAAUCUACCACACUCUAUCCGACUGGCCAGAACCGUCUUCAUCCCGAAGACGGU